UGCCAGUGUGGACAUUCAAACUGCUUCGCUGCUGCAAAAAACCAUAUCCAGUGAAUGCAAAGGAAUGACGGUGGUCACAAUUGCUCACUGGAUUUCAACUGUCAUAAAUAUGGACAACAUUUUAAUUCUUGAUCAUGGAAACCUGGCUGAACAAGGAAAUCCACAGAUUCUUCUGAAGGAUUGCACCUCUAUAUUUUAUAGUUUUGUUAAAGCUUCAUCUCUGUAACCAUGGAAGGCAUCUAUGGUUGAGUCUGGGAUGCCGUUGAUCUUUAGCUAUACGGAUGUCAAAUUGCAUUACUAGUAAAGAGGUGUAAGACAUGAUAUUUAUAAGUAGUUUUGGAUAUUUUGUUUGUUGAUCAACUUAAACUAGGAAAUAUCAACUAGCUUGUAUAUAUCUGCGAUAUUAGGACCAUAGAUAAUGCUAAUGCUCUGCAAAUUAUGUCCUGAUCAUCUUUAACUUUUCAUAGAAGUUAUAAAUCUAUAAUCCAUUCCAUGAAAAUAUGAGGAACACAAUUUUUUCCAUACCCUUCAAUUGAUUGUGUAUUUCAGAAAAGCUCGCCACAUUAAUCUUAAAUUCACAUAUUAUUAAGACUCCUUUCCUAAACAGUGCAAUUCAUUUGAAUUUAAAUUAAAAGGAGGGAGUGAUAUAAUAUUCAGAUUAGGUUAAUUUUUCUCUAGUGAAACAUG